rnacentral:rRNA from 1 species
UACGGGGGGGGCAAGCGUUGUUCGGAAUCACUGGGCUUAAAGGGCGCGUAGGCGGCUCGCGAGGUCGGGGGUGAAAUCCCACGGCUUAACCGUGGAAGUGCCUUCGAUACCGGCGGGCUCGAGGAAGGUAGGGGUGCGCGGAACUUCUGGUGGAGCGGUGAAAUGCGUUGAUAUCAGAAGGAACGCCGGCGGCGAAAGCGGCGCACUGGAUCUUUUCUGACGCUGAGGCGCGAAAGCCAGGGGAGCAAACGGG